rnacentral:rRNA from 1 species
UACAGAGGUCUCAAGCGUUGUUCGGAUUCAUUGGGCGUAAAGGGUGCGUAGGCGGCGCCGUAAGUCAGGUGUGAAAUUUCGGAGCUUAACUCCGAAACUGCAUUUGAUACUGCGGUGCUUGAGGACUGGAGAGGAGACUGGAAUUUACGGUGUAGCAGUGAAAUGCGUAGAGAUCGUAAGGAAGACCAGUGGCGAAGGCGGGUCUCGUGGACAGUU